AUGAAGAAUAAUUAGUGGCAGACGGGUGAGUAAUGCAUAGGAAUCUACCUAGUAGUAUGGGAUAGCCACUAGAAAUGGUGGGUAAUACUGUAUAAUCCCUGCGGGGGAAAGAUUUAUCGCUAUUAGAUGAGCCUAUGUUAGAUUAGCUAGUUGGUAGGGUAAAGGCCUACCAAGGCGAUGAUCUAUAGCUGGUCUGAGAGGAUGAUCAGCCACACUGGAACUGAGAUACGGUCCAGACUCCUACGGGAGGCAGCAGUGGGGAAUAUUGGACAAUGGGCGCAAGCCUGAUCCAGCUAUGCCGCGUGAGUGAGGAAGGCCUUAGGGUUGUAAAACUCUUUCAGUAGGGAAGAUAAUGACGGUACCUACAGAAGAAGU
rnacentral:rRNA from 1 species